CCUACGGGAGGCAGCAGUGGGGAAUAUUGGACAAUGGGCGAAAGCCUGAUCCAGCCAUGCCGCGUGUGUGAAGAAGGCCUUCGGGUUGUAAAGCACUUUCAGUGGGGAAGAAAGCCUUGGGGCUAAUACCCUCGAGGAAGGACAUCACCCACAGAAGAAGCACCGGCUAACUCCGUGCCAGCAGCCGCGGUAAUACGGAGGGUGCGAGCGUUAAUCGAAAUUACUGGGCGUAAAGCGCGCGUAGGCGGUCUGAUAAGCCGGUUGUGAAAGCCCCGGGCUCAACCUGGGAACGGCAUCCGGAACUGUCAGGCUAGAGUGCAGGAGAGGAAGGUAGAAUUCCCGGUGUAGCGGUGAAAUGCGUAGAGAUCGGGAGGAAUACCAGUGGCGAAGGCGGCCUUCUGGACUGACACUGACGCUGAGGUGCGAAAGCGUGGGUAGCAAACAGGAUUAGAUACCCCAGUAGUC
rnacentral:rRNA from 1 species